rnacentral:rRNA from 1 species
UGAGUAACACGUAUCCAACCUGCCGUCUACUCUUGGACAGCCUUCUGAAAGGAAGAUUAAUACAAGAUGGCAUCAUGAGUCCGCAUGUUCACAUGAUUAAAGGUAUUCCGGUAGACGAUGGGGAUGCGUUCCAUUAGAUAGUAGGCGGGGUAACGGCCCACCUAGUCUUCGAUGGGUAGGGGUUCUGAGAGGAAGGUCCCCCACAUUGGAACUGAGACACGGUCCAA